rnacentral:rRNA from 1 species
UACGUAGGGGGCAAGCGUUGUCCGGAAUUAUUGGGCGUAAAGGGCUCGUAGGCGGUUUCUUAAGUCUGAUGUGAAAGCCCACAGCUCAACUGUGGAGGGUCAUUGGAAACUGGUCAGCUGGAGGACGGUAGAGGCGAGUGGAAUUCCCGGUGUAGUGGUGAAAUGCGUAGAGAUCGGGAGGAACACCUGUGGCGAAGGCGGCUCGCUGGGCCGGUCCUGACGCUGAUAUGCGAAGGCGUGGGAGCGAACGGG